GAUAGAGGCAUGUGACCAGAAAGCUAGCUACAGUUUGUUUUCUUCCUGUAUUGAACACAAAUCAUCCCGUCUUCAAUUUGAUCGAUUCUUUACGUUAAAAAAUACCUAUAGUUGUAUUACAAAAGUAGUUUGAAAUGUUUUGGCAAAGUUUACAGGUAACUUUUGAGAUAUCUUGUAGUCACGUUGAGCAAGUUGGAACUAGUGUUUUUCUGGAUCAAACGCUUCAAAUAAAUGGACAUUUUGGAUAUAUAUCAACGGAAUUAAUCGAACAAAAGGACCAUUUGUGAUGUUUAUGGGACAUAUUGGAGUGCCAACAAAAGAAGCUCGUCAAAGCUGACCUCUAUCAAGACACCCAUGUCGACUGGAUUCCCACUGUGAAAGUCAGCAAUCCUGCAGCAGCAUCAGUCUCUACUUCUACUUCGUCCUUUUCCAGAUAUGAAAUGAGACAUCCCUCAGUUAGACAAAACGGUUGUCAAUCUGAAUGAUUCUGGUGUGCCAUGAAAGCACAAGCGGUGAGGGUCGCAAACUACAUGGCAUCUGACAGUGGUGGCUGAGCUGGAAGAGAUGGGUCUCUCAUUGGACAGCACACACGCUGUGACUCCAGUGGUAGAAGAUUGUUGCGGCCUUAUGUGCCACCUGGGAUGAAGAGGACUAAG
ensembl:lncRNA